rnacentral:rRNA from 1 species
AGUGAACGCUGGCGGGAGGAAGAACAAAGGCAAGUCGAACGGCAGCACAGUAAGAGCUUGCUCUUACGGGUGGCGAGUGGCGGACGGGUGAGGAAUACAUCGGAAUCUACUUUUUCGUGGGGGAUAACGUAGGGAAACUUACGCUAAUACCGCAUACGACCUACGGGUGAAAGCAGGGGAUCUUCGGACCUUGCGCGAUUGAAUGAGCCGAUGUCGGAUUAGCUAGUUGGCGGGGUAAAGGCCCACCAAGGCGACGAUCCGUAGCUGGUCUGAGAGGAUGAUCAGCCACACUGGAACUGAGACACGGUCCAGACUCCUACGGGAGGCAGCAGUGGGGAAUAUUGGACAAUGGGCGCAAGCCUGAUCCAGCCAUACCGCGUGGGUGAAGAAGGCCUUCGGGUUGUAACGCCCUUUUGUUGGGAAAGAAAAGCAGCAGGUUAAUACCCCGCUGUUCUGACGGUACCCAAAGAAUAAGCACCGGCUACCUUCGUG